AACUGAUGGACUGUUAGAGGUUAACAGUUUAUUGUCCCAAUCUGUUUAGCAAUUCCUAUUUCCCCGGGAUGAGCUGCUUUCUGUUCUACCAUUCUGUUAGCAAGUCCUAUUCUUAUGGGACUAGUUGUUUUCUGUUCCUCGUCUUUGUUAUUUUGAUUGCUGCAUCUCUUUGUAAAAGGCUAUAUAAGCAUGCUGUUUGUGAUGAAUAAACAAGAGACUCAUCUC